rnacentral:tRNA from 1 species
UGGGAUAUAGCUCAGUGGCAAAGCGCUUGCCUAGCAAGCGCAGCGUCCUGGGUUCGAUCCCCAGUACCAA